UAUUUCUUGAUGAAAUCGUUUGAUGCUUGCCAAAUUGAAAUCGGAAAGUGGCACCUUAUUCAUGUAGCAAUUAGAGUAGAUCAAGACUUUGGUCCGUUGCUUUCUUCUCGUCGUCGUUCUCGCCCAGCGGUUUUGAGCGUGCUGAUAACGUGUUGGAACUAAUCGAGAGACAACAAUGAAUCGAACUGUUUCUUAUUCCAUUGACGAUCACAGUAUAUAUACAAGGGAACAGACGCAAGCGAAGAGAUGCGUCCGUUCGCAGGGGCGCGAGAGUGGGUCGCGACGGUUGCAGAAACAACCGCACGAGAUAUUACAUAGGGAGGAUUAUCCCUUUAAUUAAGAGAACUAAUUAAAUCCUAACAACAUUAACGUACGCAGUAAGAGCGCUCAUUGGCAUGGUACACGUGUCCAUUUUACCGGAUCGCUACACGUAACGAGAAAGAGAGAGAGAGAGGGAAACGGGUCCAGAUAACACCUCCCCAGGUAAAACUCGCUCGUCUCCUCAUCUCUCGCGUCUUCUCCUCCUCGAGUGGCGGCUAGGGUUUCGCCGCCCUUCUCCUAUUCCCUUCUCUCCCUGUCGCCUCCUCCCACCAGCUGCCGCCUCGCCCGCUUGACUCGUCGCCUCCUCACCGUGCGAGCCGCCUCCACCCGCCCUCCUUCGCUUCCUCCCCUCUCGGCUCAUCCUUUUGAUGGAGGCGGCUCUCGUCGAUGAGCACGACGGCGGCGAGUUGAGUGCCUAAUGGGCGACAUCAACGCCAUGUCCACCUAUGGGUGGCAGAUGGUGUGGAUCCAUCGCCAUGGCUUACGACGCCGAGCUACUCACGUAGGAAACAGCUUCAUUCUGAUUUAUGUGAAUAUAAGCGUCUGAGGUCCAGUGGCAAUGCUACAAAAUCAUUCCAGACUUGAGUAUCUGGAUCACACUACUACUGGUCAUAUCUUGCGGUUCAUACAGCGGGCUUAUGACAGAGCAAGUCAUGGCCUCAUGGCAUGGGGUCCCUUUCUUCAGCCAACUGAAGCACUUGAUGUUAGCUUGUCUUUGCUUUUGGAUAAAUUCUAGUGCAUAUUCUAAUAAUAGAUCCUAAUGUUAUAGCAUACACCCAUAUUGAUGUACAUGGUGAGACUAGGACCAAACUUGGGAGUAGUCAAGGGGCAGCAAAUUGAUGGUUACAACAUGACCUGGAAUUGCUUUGCGUUCCUGGAAUCCAAUUGGCUGCCCUAAAAAUGUAUUGCAGCAUCUUGAAUCCGCCAGUGUUAUUUUGUGUUAACAAGACUUUUAAGGCUUGCAUUUGUGCCA